UACAGAGGUCCCAAGCGUUGUUCGGUAUUCGACUGGGACGGUAAAGGGUGCGUGAGGGCGGUCGGGUAAGUCUGAUGUGAAAUCUCACAGCUUAACUGUGAAACUGCAUUGGAUACUAUCCGGCUCGAGGAAUGGAGGGGAGACUGGAAUACUUGGUGUAGCAGUGAAAUGCGUAGAUAUCAAGUGGAACACCAGUGGCGAAGGCGAGUCUCUGGACAUUUCCUGACGCUGAGGCACGAAAGCCAGGGGAGCAAACGGG
rnacentral:rRNA from 1 species